GCCUGGGUGGCUCACUCGGUUGAGCGUCCGACUUCAGCUCAGGUCAUGAUCUCACAGUCUGUGGGCUCGAGCCCCACAUCGGGCU
rnacentral:tRNA from 1 species